rnacentral:tRNA from 1 species
GCUUUUUUAGUUUAAUUAAAAUAUGGUUUUUGUAAUACCAAGUUAUUAUUUAUUAAUAUUAAGCU